rnacentral:lncRNA from 1 species
CCAAACAUUUUAAUUGAAAAAGACGAACACAGAAAGACAUUUUUGAAAAUUUGGAUCCCUCAUACAGUUCUUCGUUCAUGUCAUUAAGUAGCGCAUAGAACUUCGCCGCUUCUUCAUUCGGCUCUUCAUGAGGUACACUACUUCCCGGUUCGGUAAAAGCAUUUCUCCCAAUAUUACAAUCAUCAGAAGCCACAAAGUCCGCUGGGAACGACUGAACGCCAUG